AACAGGUGGAGCCUGCGGUUUAAUCGGACUCAACGCCGGGAAGCUCACCGGAUAAGACAGCGGAAUGAUAGCCGGGCUGAAGACUCUGCUUGACUAGCUGAGAGGAGGUGCAUGGCCGUCGUCAGUUCGUACUGUGAAGCAUCCUGUUAAGUCAGGCAACGAGCGAGACCCACGCCAACAGUUGCCAGCUCGUCCUCCGGGAUGGUGGGGACACUGUUGGGACCGCCUCUGCUAAAGAGGAGGAAGGAAUGGGCAACGGUAGGUCAGCAUGCCCCGAAUUAUCUGGGCUACACGCGGGCUACAAUGGGUGGGACAAUGGGUAUUGACACCGAAAGGUGAAGGCAAUCUCCUAAACCCAUCCGUAGUUCGGAUUGUGGGCUGCAACUCGCCCACAUGAAGCUGGAAUCUGUAGUAAUCGUGUCUCAAAAUGGCACGGUGAAUAUGUCCCUGCUCCUU
rnacentral:rRNA from 1 species